UAAGCAAAAACCCACUUAGUUCAUUUAUCUCAGAAGUGGAAUUUUAAUUUUAUAAAUCAGCAAAUCCCAAUGAUUUUAUGAUCUGGGGUUCUUCUCAUAGUACUGGAAAUGGAAAAUUCUGUUCAAGAAAUGCAUCAAACACAGCCUGAAUUUGAUUCUUCUGCUCAUUCUAAUACAAAUGGAGAGAGAGAGGAAGCUACUUUAGUGCAGCAGCAGUCAACAAGACGGCCAAACCUCUCAUCUCUGCAAAUACCUACAAGAUCUUUGGAAAAUGCUUUAUCCAGCUUUACAAGAAUAGAUGUUCCAAGUCCUAACUCUGCCAGAUCAGGGUUGCCCCCAAGGCCCCACUCUGCCAAGUUCAUGUCAUCUAUGA
rnacentral:misc_RNA from 1 species